GGGGGGAGGGGGGGGGCAUAAUGGAGGGAGGUUGAGCAUGUUUGUCGAAGUACAAACCGAGGUCAUUUUCCACAUCUGACAGUGGAGGGACUGAUCAAGUAUUUCUCUCGAUGUGGUCUCGUUCGUUUGUCACGCCGUCUGUCUUCUGGGAGUUCUCUGCUGAGAUUAAUGUCCCUUGUCCGCUGAAUCCGAGACUCCCUCCUGUCAAACACACGCUCCAAAGCCUAUUUAUAAGCCCUAAUGAGUCUCCGGGUGACAAAUGGACACCCUCCAAAACCCCCGGCUUCCUGCGCUCUCCUGUCCCAGCAUGCAUCUGGCCCCGAGUUUGCGUCGGACCGCCUCCUGGCCCACAUCCUCCUGCUCCUCCUCCAGUCUUCACCUGGUUUCUCAAACACUUCUGUUUCCUCUUCCCCGACCUCUUUGUGCCAAACCCCCGCCGUCCCACUCUGCCUUUUCGUCUCCCCGUCCUCUCUCUCCGUCUGUCUCCGUCUCUCGGCUCGUUGGGAGUCGGUGCCGGUGGUUUCUGGAUCAGCUGUGGGCGGCUCUGCCAAAUGCUCCGGGGCUCCCGGGUUGUGGGGAUUUUAGUUUCAUUGAGCCAGCAGGUGGCCAGAAGAAAAGAAAAGGGGGGGACGAACAAUCACUAAUGAAGACGCUUCUUGGCACCUGUGUUUUAUGUUUAAAAGCGAAAGCCCCCCCCAGAGGAGUGCAGUCUAUUUCUGGUGGAGGCAGCAUGAGGCCUGAAGAUGGAGGGAGAACCUCCAAUCAGAUCCACGCCGGAUGUUACUCGGUGCCCCGGGUGCCAUUGACCAGGAAAUGUUAGCGUCUCUGCAUCAGAGCCCCGCGGAUGUCGUUCCCAUCAGACCGAGUAUGUAACUAAAUAUAAACCAGCUUCGGAGCGUCUGUGGGAGAAAUGCAUCGCAUUCAGGGUUUAGAAGUGACACAUUAAUAAUGUAAAUCAAACAUUUUCAUCAAAGCUGCCCUGAAUGCUUUGUGGUUAAAUCAACCAAGAGAGAGGGAACGCUUCUGCUAAAUGUUUGUGGAUCUCCUGACCGCUUCACUUAAGGGAAGAACAAAGCAGCGUCACCAAAGUGCCCGGGUGGCGUUCCUUUUUUUUGGGCUGUGGGGAUUGAUCGAUUUUGACGUCCGCAGUUGAAGAAAAAAAGUAUGUUUUUGUGUCCGUAAACAACAUCCGCCAAUCCCUGCGCUGCUGCAGUAAGUCGGUGCGCUCGGGAGGUCACGGGGACAGAAACUAAUAUCUAAUAUAUAUAAUUCUUGUCAUUCCCUCCAGUUCUGCGGCGUUUGUCGUUCACCGCGCUUCGUUUGAGCGCUUCUCUCUCAAGAGCUUGGAAGCCUAAACCAACGGUUCACUGAUCUUUUUCGCUCUCAAAUCCGUUUGCCUCACAUGUGAACCCCAAAGACUUAAGAUAAUGAACUCCCGAGGAGAGUGGAGUAAUUGUCUUUCAGGUGGGGGUGUUUUCUCGGCUCGGCUGCUGGGAGACGUGAGGCAGAAGGUGGAAGGUUAGUGGUGGAACAGUUGCAGUAAGCGGCCACUAGGAACUGCUGCGCUCCUCUCCUCUCGUCGCGGGAUUUUGUCUCUCAUCCGUGGCACAGUUUUUAUUUGACUUAUAGUCUUGUUAUCUAUUAUCUGACUGAUCGUUGAAUUAGCGACCCUGUUUUCAACACGUGCGCCGUCCUAUCCGUCCGUCCUCUUGAGAUCAGGGCUCAGCCUUUUUUACCAAAAAGAAACCGAUUCUCAAAAAAUGAAAGAUGCUGGGUUUUCAUUUCGAUUUCUGUUCACAUCCGUCUGCUGUGGGAUCUCUAGGAAACUCCACCACCUCCCUCCUGUGAUUCUCAAUGUGUCCUCUCGCCCUGACGCCGUUUGACAGACAGCAGUUUGUACUGUGACACAUGACUAUCAGCAUCAUAACACGGAUCUGUGCCACGGUGACUCGCCGGCCUGCUCGCGCCACAUCUGUCACCCGCCGCGUCUCUCACCAUCAUGUUAGCGCAACCUUACGCGACUGCACGCUUGUCCGACAAAUGUGUGCGUGUGUGUGUGUGUGUGUGUGUGUGUGCGUAGGCCUGCAAACAGCUUUGUGGAACAGCUGAGCUGUUGCCAAGGCGACCUAUCUGCAGAGGCAGCCGCUGCCCUGCUCAGCUUCCCAGAUGUCUGGAUCAUCCGAUUGAUCCGAUUUAUUUUUAUUUUUUGUCAGUUUCUUGGAGGUUAUUUUAUUUAAUUUUGUUUUCAGUAAAAAAAAAAAGGAUCUGGUAGAAUAGCUCUAAUUAAACAAAGAGGUAAUUGUGAUGGUUAUUCUCAUAAUCAGCGCUUCCCUCUCCAGGUAGCAGAUAUCAACAAAUCUUAUUUCCAAAGGGCAGAAAGCCCCUUUAAUGAUGAAACCAACUCAGUCGAGACCAUCGGAAACCGAGAAGACCAAGACCAGUGCAUCCAUUAACUUCCCCCUUUUCUCCUAGACAAGGAUACUGGGGGUUAAGGGGGGGGGGGGCGCAGGACUGACGGGAUUUACUGCAAAUUACACGUCAUUACAGGAGCGUGAGGACGCCGCAGGCUCCCGGUGUCUGCGGCAUUAAGCGGGUUUGGGCUUUCCCUCCGCUGAAAUAAUAUUUGAAUAAUGGUUAUCUGGUUUUGGUGCUUAAGUGUUUAAUUAGACACAAGAGCAACAGCAGAAGGCGCCGGCCGUGCUGUUUGCUGUAACCGUGCGUGUGUCUCUUUCCUGGUGGCAUCAAUGAGGUUCACUUAAUACUCUUCAGUGAGCAGGACAGUUUGUUCCCACGGAUCUUAAGAGCUCCCACGUGUGUUAUUGGAGCGGAGCGUCUAACAUGUUGCUACACACCUUAUUAUAACAGUUAUUUGGUCUGUGCUGCAUUGAUUUGUGAUGACUGGUAAUUGAUUUAUUUUAUUCUGCACCUGCUCUGAUCACCACAGUGAGACAAAGAGGUGAUUUGUCUGUUUGCCCACACAUGACGCCUUGAUUUAAUUUGAUUUUACACUUUAUUCAUUUCAACUCUUCAUUAUUAGGAACCUACUGGUUUUGCCUGGAGGGAGCGUUUCAAGAGAUUCAGAACUCGAGCGGUUGGUUGCUGCAGUAUUAUUAGAAAAGCGCUCACAGCGCUCACUCUCCUACAAACAGUUUUGGAUGCUUUGACACCCUGCAGACGGGCUUGGCUGCGCGCCGGCUGAAUGCUGUCAGUGUGUGGUUCUCUGGAGGAAAGACUCGCCAAGCGGCUCCGACGCGUCCGACGGCGGCUUAACGAACCUCCGUUACCGUACGCAGAGAGGCUCCUGUUCUUAAUUACCUUCGCGUAGAAGGUUUCUUCAGCAGCAAUUGGUCUUUUACAGCGAUGACCUGUUCAUAUCGCAGUGAAUUUACAGCCCUCUUCUGGUUCCUGCUGCCUUAAUGCCUGCAGAGCAGAUGAGUAGAGUGAGAAUAUGAAGCCAUCGGGGAGACAAAGAGACAGAACAACACGGCAGUGAUGGACGUUUCUCUGGCGGCCUCUUGGGGGCACGAGAGACAUCACUGUCAAAGAGUUCUAAAGCCCAAUGAGUAAUCAAAGAGGCGAGGAGAAAUAUUAGUGUUCAUUUAACGUUGGGGCUGAACCAUAGCGGCAAAUCAGCUGGUAAUAAAAUAUCUUCAAAUCACAUCUAUUUGAUUCAUUGUUGGUAUAAAACGUUUAGAUGACGUUACGUGGACGUUGUGGUGUGGAUCCCGCCCCCAAACCCCCACGUAACACCCCGGCUCGUCUCAUGAGUAUGCAGAUAUGUGUGUGUUAAUGCUCCCGCACCUAUGGGACAGAUGAUGACGACCGAUUAGACCGGACUGUUGAAGCAGCCGCCACAGGUGGGACGUCCUCCUAGAACCGGUGAUUGACCUCCACCUUCUACUCAUCCUCAUAUUCAUCAGCCGAAAGGGCUUCACAAGCAGCUUUGAUGUGUCCGCCGCUCUCCGUUUCAAGUGCGGCUCUCCGUGUGGCUGGCGUGCGUUCUGAGGGUCGGUGUGCGCGAGAUAAAAGAACCGCCGGCGGAAUCCGAUUGGACGAGAGUUUCCGUCCACCUGCCCCUGACGCCCGGCCUGUUUGCAUGAUGAGCGCUAACUCCUCGGUGUCUCUCUCAAAGGAUUAACUUGGCCCGUGUGCUCGUCUUCAGUGAUUAUUUAAUAGAAGAAAUAAAAGGAGCUGCUCUUGAGAAAAGGACUUUGUGGCUCUUCUGAAUGUUAUCUACCGGUUUGGUCUAAUUGGAGGUUCCUUUAUGCUUCUAGAAAUGGGGAAAGGAAAUAAUGUGCCAUUUGUGCGAGGCCUCGUUUUUAUAAAACACGGGUGUCACAGUUGGAUGGUGACUCUGGGGGCCUCCGGCUCCUCAGCACAUGAAUUCAACACGCACAGAUAGACGUCUGUGUGUUUGUCUGGAUAUCGCGGCGUAUGUCGUAGUAUUUGAAGGGGGGGGCGUGUUUCCCUCCUGUUGCUGUUUCUUCAGCUUUGCUUCAUUGAAAUCCGCACACGGAAAGUCACUUGUGUCACGCUGACACCGCGGACAAAAGGGGCUCUUAUUCAAAGUCGGCUGGCUCGAUCCGGAGCUCCUGGAUUUGAGCUUUAAGAAGUAAGCGUCUGCCGUGAUGAUGCCGAGCUCUGCGUGCGUGUCCCGGGACGCGAGGCUGAAGGCCGCGUGGAUCCGCGUGAGCGGUCGCAUUGUCAGAAACAGCCUGGUCGGAUGUGAACCGCCCCCAACUUUAGUUUAUGGCUGUAGAAUAUUGGAAACAUUUAGUUCAAAACUCUUUUUAAAAAAGCUAGAACCUCAAUGUUAAGUUAUUCGGUUUCAUUCUUUAUCCAUAUUUGAUCUCUUGCGCGCUACUUAAUGACUUAAUGGCUCAGCUUUAAACCAUUUUCCUCACAUUUUGCAUGGAUUAGUGCACUCAAGAUUACUUUUACCUUAUAUAUUUUUUUCUUCUGAGUGUCUUACUGGUUUUCAAUGGUUUCCGUUCGUAGCCGUGUUUCAGAAACAUACCUGUAGAAAAUCCUACCUGCUUCUAUUUAGGUGGAAGAAAUGACACGACAUGUUUAGAUCUCAUCUUUUCCUGGCUCUACUUGCUCCACCAUCCCUUUAACUCUGUUUCCUCCACCCUUGCAUCUCAUUAAAGACAGCCCCCCCCCCCCCCUCGUGAGCUAAACUGAGCAGCACUGAUGUGAUGAGGUGUGGCUCGAGUGUCCUCUUCGCACCGAUAAUGUGCUGAAUGACCUGGGUCACAAAAGGCUGUAAUUAAGAGUCUCUCCCUCCCUUGUUAAGACAGCCGGCGUUCUACCGGGACGACGAGUCACACAAAGCUGGCGCUUUUCGUUUGUGCAUCAUCUCUCGACUCGCUCCCUCCACUUGAAUGCGCUCGUUCUCUGUUUGCGCCCCCAGGGAUGUCGCCGCCGAGCGCUCCGCUCAUCGCCGUUUGUGUAUUAACAGGUGCUUUGUUGCAUCCACAUUAAUGCUGACAAUUUGAACUCGGCUGCCUACGCAGCGUUCCCCAGCGUCUCCCACGGCAACCAGGUGUCUGUGGAUGGGUGAGUGGGGCGCAGCAGGUAGAAACAUGGGCACUUCAUUUCGUCCGGAGUUUAAUGAUCAAGACGGCGUUCCCCGCCUCCUUGCGGCAGAGGUCGUGGCCGUCUCCGUCAGCUUUCAGGCGUAGUCGGCCUGCCGCUCCGCCCGUGGCGCUGCCCUUGACCUUCCUCUGUUUUCUCGCUCCCGCCGGGACGGCCGCCCCGUUUCACCCCUUUUAACUCUUCCCCCCCACCCCUCCCCCGGCGCGGCGGGGGCCUGCGAGCUCUGGCGGAUUACCUUAAUGGAGACGGGCAGGGAAAAGAAGCGAGGUGCGCACGCCCGCUGCUUUGCGUGUCUCUGCGCCCGCGGGCUCGCCGCUUCAAGUGCAGAGCAGGCGCGACCCGGAGAGAGAAGAGAGAUGGAAACACAGAUCCAAUGGGCUCUUUGCAGGAUGAGUGGAGAUGAAGUCAUCGUAGCUUUGAGCUGGUUUCAGCGCGUUAACGUUAGCGCCUCUCUCAGGGUCCUCGGGUUGCUUCCCGGGCCGAUCAGUCGGGGGCUGUUGAGCUGUGACCUGCAGGGUCUCUCAGAUGCCUGAUUGGCGGUGUGUUUCUUCUAAAGGUGACAUUUAAUCUGCUUCUAGUUAUUUGUUUUGACUGUUCUAGAGUUGCUCCCACAUUGGCUCACUUCCCGCCGCCUGCAGCCUUUAACAGACGUAGCGGAUUAGCAGUUUGCUGCACUCCUCCUGUAUUUCACCUCUUUCCCUCCUUCUUCCCUGUUCGGUAUUCCACCGGCCGGCAUCCCACAAGCUGCUCGGCCGUGCUGCAGUAAAUUAGGUUGUUUAUCGAAAGGGAAGAGCCGGCCUCCCCGAAACCGUCUGCAUACUGACAGACCUUCUGGGGAGGGCGACCCAAUAGCGUGGAAUAAUAAUAGUUAUUAGAUGGGGCGUUCAUGAGAAUAACCAGGAUGUUUGAAUUCUUGGUUUAAUUCGGAUAACCAGCGACUCACUGGAGGCCACUGCAUGAAACAACUGAGCAAGUACAAAAAUGUGUUUACUCAAAAAAUCAAAAACAGAACCACCGGGAGAGGCCAGAUUCAUCCUCGUCCAUUGAUUACCUUCUUGUUUAUUUACUUCCCUCCUGUGAUGUCUGACGGUACGAAUCUCAGCAAGAGACGACCUUGUAAUGUUCAGUUAGUGCCUGAGACCGACCGUUCAGAGGGAUCUUAAACUGUUAGUUACUUUUCACCAUCACAAUCCGAGAAACCAGUAAAUGUUAAUUAAAUCAAUACAAAGUGAAUACAUUUCAUGUGUUCCUUUUUCAUACAGCAUGUUUUACUAAAUAUAUUUUUGUAUCGUCUUGCAUAUUUGCAUCCUCCCUGGUAAUUUAUACAUAUUUUUCUCAAAUACAGCAUUAAUAAUUAGGACUCAUGUCGCCUCGAGGUGCAGCUGCAAGAUCCCGUGAAUUUAGAUUCAGCUAUUAAUAAAUGUUUGCUUCUGUGCGUGCGGCCGCCAGCUUUCCUAAGGUUCUGCAAGACUUGAAGCCCCCCCACACACACACACACACACACACACACACACACACACACACGCAAUCACUCUGACCCACUUGUUUAACGUGCCCACAAUAUAAAGCUACACACGCCUGCCUGUUCCAAACCCGUCACAGCGAACCAAUCCGCUUUGCUCCUCACGUCCUGAUUCUCCACACUAGACGCAGCUUCUCUCCCCCAGUUCAAAGUCCAAUUCAUCAGGUGGCUGUAGAGGAAAUAACCCCCCCCCCCCUUUCUCUCACCGGGGGUCCGGGGUGUGUCUGUGAUGCUGCAUAACGUUAUUGUGGAUGUGUGGUGAUCGUAAUUGUGGGCGAGUUGGCGAACGCACUAAAUCCUCGGUAUAAAUAACCCUCUGAAGGCGGCGCUGACUGGCGAGAAGGGAAAAGUUCACAAAGUGGCUCGGUGAAAUGCGCCACAGAUCGUGAUGAAUGUGGGUGGGGGGAAGGGAGGGGGCUGCGGGUGGAGUCGGCUUGCUCCAUCUGGCUGGUUAGUGCCCUCUAUUAUUAUUAUUAUAAUUAUUACCUUGACCAACGUGCACCAUCUUUUCCUGGAGAUUCUUAGUCUUUGUAGUUGCC
ensembl:lncRNA